GAGGAAGCAGAACCCAGGGUUCUCUCAAAGGGAAGGCAGGCCCCAGGGUUCUCCAAGGGAAGCAGGACCCAGUGUUCUCCAAGGGGAGGCAGAACCCAGGGUUCUCCAGGGGAAGCAGGCCCCAGGGUUCUCCAGGGGAAGCCAGGCCCCAGAGUUCUCCAGGGGCACAGGACCCAGUGUUCUCCAGGGGAAGCAGGCCCCAGAGUUCUCCAAGGGAAGGCAGGACCCAGGGUUCUCCAGGGGAAGCCAGGCCCCAGAGUUCUCCAGGGGCACAGGACCCAGUGUUCUCCAGGGGAAGCAGGCCCCAGGGUUCUCUCCAGAGGAAGCAGAACCCAGGGUUCUCUCAAAGGGAAGGCAGGCCCCAGGGUUCUCCAAGGGAAGCAGGACCCAGUGUUCUCCAAGGGGAGGCAGAACCCAGGGUUCUCCAGGGGAAGCAGGACCCAGGGUUCUCCAGGGGAAGCCAGGCCCCAGGGUCCUCCAGGGGAGCAGGACCCAGGGUUCUCCAAGGGGAGGCAGGACCUAAGGUUCUCCAGGGGGAGCAGGACCCAGGGUUCUCCAGGGGAAGCAGGCCCCAGAGUUCUCCAGGGGAAGGCAGGACCCAGGGUUCUCCAAGGGGAGGCAGGCCCCAGGGUUCUCCAGGGGAAGCAGGCCCCAGGGUUCUCUCCAGAGGAAGCAGAACCCAGGGUUCUCUCAAAGGGAAGGCAGGCCCCAGGGUUCUCCAAGGGAAGCAGGACCCAGUGUUCUCCAAGGGGAGGCAGAACCCAGGGUUCUCCAGGGGAAGCAGGACCCAGGGUUCUCCAGGGGAAGCCAGGCCCCAGGGUCCUCCAGGGGAGCAGGACCCAGGGUUCUCCAAGGGAAGCAGGCCCCAGAGUUCCCCCAGGGGGCGCAGGACCCAGGGUUCUCCAGGGGAAGCAGGCCCCAGAGUUCUCCAGGGGAAGGCAGGACCCAGGGUUCUCCAGGGGCACAGGACCCAGAGUUCUCCAGGGGAAGAAGGAUGCAGUGUUCUCCAAGGGGAGGCAGGCCCCAGGGUCCUCCAGGGGAGCAGGACCCAGGGUUCUCCAGGGGAAGGCUGAAGAGGGGGUCCAUGAGGUGGAGAUCUGGGGCCUGAGAGAGCUGUGGCGGCUGCUCAGGGUGAGGCCCAGAAGCUGA
rnacentral:lncRNA from 1 species